rnacentral:tRNA from 1 species
GCGGUCGUGGUCUAGUCUGGUCUAGGACUCAGACACUAAAAGCCUGCUACCCGGGUUCAAAUCCCGGCGGCCGCACCA